UUAAGUUACUAAGGGCACACGGCGGAUGCCUUGGUACGGGAAGGCGAUGAAGGACGUGACUACCUGCGAUAUGCCACGGAGAGGUGGAAAUAACCUAAGAUCCGUGGAUUUCCGAAUGGGGCAACCCGAUCCUGGUAAUGCGGGAUCAUCCACAACUGAAUUCAUAGGUUGUGUGAAGCAAACCCGGGGAACUGAAACAUCUAAGUACCCGGUGGAAGAGAAAACAAGAGUGAUUUCCUGAGUAGUGGCGAGCGAAAAGGAAACAGCCUAAACUGUCUAACGUGUUAAAGGAAGUAACCGUUGCGUUAGAGGUGUUGUGGGGCAUAUUCGGGCCGAAUUACUGAUAGGCCGAAGAGUCAAAAAUUAUACUAUUAGCUGAAUGUUUUGGAAAGUUCAACCAUAGAAGGUGAUAGUCCUGUAAGCGAAAAUAGUAUAACUCUUUGGAAUAUGUUCCCAAGUACCACGAAGUAAGUGGAAUUUUGUGGGAAUCUGCCAGAACCAUCUGGUAAGGCUAAAUACUCUCCCGUAACCGAUAGUGAAUCAGUACCGUGAGGGAAAGGUGAAAAGAACUCCUAAUAGGAGAGUGAAAUAGUACCUGAAACCGUGUGCUUACAAACGGUUGGAGUCCCGAUUUAUCGGGAUGACAGCGUGCCUUUUGGAUAAUGAGCCAACGAGUUACUCGUAUGUUGCAAGGUUAAUCUGCUAAGCAGAGUAGCCAUAGCGAAAGCAAGUCCUAACCGGGCGAUUGAAGUAACAUGCGGUAGACGCGAAACCGGGUGAGCUACCCUUGUCCAGGAUGAAGUGAGGGUAAAACCUCAUGGAGGUCCGAACCAGUGUGGGUUGAAAACCGCUUGGAUGAGGUGAGGGUAGGGGUGAAAGGCCAAUCAAACCCGGAAAUAGCUCGUAUUCCUCGAAAUAGCUUUAGGGCUAGCCUCGAGUAAAAGUGUAACGGAGGUAGAGCACUGAUUGGGCUAGGGCUGUCACAACGGUACCAAACCCAGACAAACUCCGAAUUCCGUAUACAUGUUUCUCGGGAGUCAGGCGGUGGGGGAUAAGCUUCAUCGCCAAAAGGGAAACAACCCAGACCACCAACUAAGGUCCCUAAAUGGUAGUUAACAGAGAAAGGAUGUUGAGUUGCUUAGACAACUAGGAUGUUGGCUUAGAAGCAGCCAUUCAUUUAAAGAGUGCGUAAUAGCUCACUAGUCAAGCGGCUCUGCGUCGACAAUACUCGGGACUUAAAUUACCUACCGAAGUUGUGGAUUUCUUGAUUUAUCAGGGAGUGGUAGAGGAACAUUCUAUAUGCACUGAAGGCGAAUCGCGAGGUUUGUUGGAGCGUAUAGAAAAGCAAAUGUUGGCAUAAGUAACGAUAAAACAGAUGAGAAAUCUGUUCACCGAAAGUCUAAGGUUUCCUGAGCAAUGCUAAUCAUCUCAGGGUUAGUCGGGUCCUAAGCCGAGGCCGAGAGGCGUAGGCGAUGGGAAACAGGUUAAUAUUCCUGUACCCGGUAUAUUUUGUUUGACCGUAAGGAGGGACGCAGGAGUGAAGAUCAGCCACCUGUUGGAUUAGGUGGUCUAAGCAUGUAGGCUGGAAGAGUAGGCAAAUCCGCUUUUCCUUAAGGCCGAGAUGCGAACGGGAGGGCUUAGCCCAUAAACUGAUCGUAAUCAUACUGCCAAGAAAAGCUUCGUACGGGAAAAAUAUAUUGGUCCGUACCGCAAACCGACACAGGUAGACGAGAUGAGUAUUCUAAGGUGCUCGAGUGAGCCGUGGUUAAGGAACUCGGCAAAUUAACUCCGUAACUUCGGGAGAAGGAGUGCCCCCGGUAGGUGAAUCCCCUGCGGGAGGAGCUGAAAGGGGCCGCAGUGAAAAGGCCCAGGCGACUGUUUAACAAAAACACAUGUCUCUGCGAAGUCAAUUAAGACGAUGUAUAGGGACUGACACCUGCCCGGUGCUGGAAGGUUAAAAGGAGGGGUUAUCCCGAUUUAUCGGGAGAAGCUCUGAAUUGAAGCCCCAGUAAACGGCGGCCGUAACUAUAACGGUCCUAAGGUAGCGAAAUUCCUUGUCGGGUAAGUUCCGACCUGCACGAAUGGUGCAACGAUCUGGGUACUGUCUCAACCACGGGCUCGGUGAAAUUGUGGUACCGGUGAAGACGCCGGUUACCCGCAUAUGGACGGAAAGACCCCGUGAACCUUUACUGCACCCUAAUAUUGGGUUCGGGUAAAGCAUGUGUAGGAUAGGUGGGAGGCUUUGAAGCCGGGUCGCUAGAUUCGGUGGAGCCAACGGUGAAAUACCACCCUUGUUUUAUUUGGAUUCUAACCGCGGUCCUUGAAUCAGGAUCCGGAACAGUGUUAGGCGGGUAGUUUGACUGGGGCGGUCGCCUCCCAAAUGGUAACGGAGGCUCUCAAAGGUUCCCUCAGCAUGGUUGGUAAUCAUGCGUUGAGUGCAAAGGCAAAAGGGAGCUUGACUGCGAGACAUACAGGUCGAGCAGGUGCGAAAGCAGGACUUAGUGAUCCGACGGCUGCGAAUGGAAGUGCCGUCGCUCAAAGGAUAAAAGGUACUCCGGGGAUAACAGGCUGAUCUUGCCCAAGAGUUCAUAUCGACGGCAAGGUUUGGCACCUCGAUGUCGGCUCAUCGCAUCCUGGGGCUGAAGAAGGUCCCAAGGGUUGGGCUGUUCGCCCAUUAAAGCGGUACGUGAGCUGGGUUCAGAACGUCGUGAGACAGUUCGGUCCCUAUCCUAUGCGGGCGCAGGAUACUUGAGAAGGGUCGCUCCUAGUACGAGAGGACCGGAGUGAACGAACCUCUAGUGCACCAGUUGUCGCGCCAGCGGCACCGCUGGGUAGCUACGUUCGGUUGUGAUAAGCGCUGAAAGCAUCUAAGCACGAAGCACACUUCAAGAUAAGGUAUCCCUCCCGACGCAAGUCGGGACUAAAGACUCCUCGGAGAUGACGAGGUUGAUAGGCUGCAGGUGUAAGUGCAGUAAUGUAUUUAGCCGAGCAGUACUAAUAAGUCGUGAGACUUAACCAA
rnacentral:rRNA from 1 species